rnacentral:rRNA from 1 species
ACCGGCGCACGGGUGAGUAACACGUAUGCAACCUACCUACAUCAGGGGAAUAACCCGGAGAAAUUCGGACUAAUACCGCAUAAUACAGGGAUGCCGCAUGGCAAUAUUUGUUAAAGAUUAAUCGGUUGAAGAUGGGCAUGCGUAUGAUUAGCUAGUUGGCGGGGUAACGGCCCACCAAGGCAACGAUCAUUAGGGGUUCUGAGAGGAAGGUCCCCCACACUGGUACUGAGACACGGACCAGACUCCUACGGGAGGCAGCAGUGAGGAAUAUUGGUCAAUGGGCGCGAGCCUGAACCAGCCAAGUCGCGUGAAGGAUGAAGGUCUUAUGGAUUGUAAACUUCUUUUAUACAGGAAUAAAUUGGGGGACGUGUCCCCUUUUGCAUGUACUGUAUGAAUAAGGAUCGGCUAACUCCGUGCCAGCAGCCGCGGUAAUACGGAGGAUCCGAGCGUUAUCCGGAUUUAUUGGGUUUAAAGGGUGCGCAGGCGGGAUGUUAAGUCGGCGGUGAAAUUUUGCAGCUCAACUGUAAAAGUGCCUUCGAUACUGGCCUCCUUGAGUGUGGAUGAAGUAGGCGGAAUUUGUGGUGUAGCGGUGAAAUGCUU